AUGAACAUGAUUUGGGGAAGGUGAAAACCUUCAGUAAGCUUCGAGUCAAGCAGCGCCAGAUAAGUUGCGCAGCUUGGUCCGAAAGGUGAGGAACAAGCGACGAAUAAUCCUUCUCCCACCAUAA
rfam:Serratia sp. DD3 SRDD_contig000090, whole genome shotgun sequence.